rnacentral:rRNA from 1 species
CUAAAACAUGCAAGUUGAACGUUUCGAACUAUGGCGAAACGUAGCGGACGGCUCAGUAACACGUGGCUAACCUGCCCUUGAGACGAGUAUAAUCCCGGGAAACUGGGGCUAAUACGUGAUAGGUGAAGAUGCCUGGAAUGGUUCAUCAUCUAAAGGACGUUGAGACCAUGUUUCACAGUGUCGCUCAAGGAUGGGGCCGCGGCCGAUCAGGUAGUUGGUGAGGUAACUGCUCACCAAGCCUUUGACCGGUACGGGCCGUGAGAGCGGGAGCCCGGAGAUGGGCACUGAGAUAAGGGCCCAGGCCCUAUGGGGCGCAGCAGUUGCGAAACCUCCGCAAUGCGCGAAAGCGUGACGGGGUUACCCCAAGUGCCAUCCGCUGAGGACGGCUUUUCUUUGGUGUAAUGAGCCAAAGGAACAAGGGGAGGGCAAGACUGGUGUCAGCCGCCGCGGUAAUACCAGCUCCCCGAGUGGUAAGGACAAUUAUUGGGCUUAAAGCGUCCGUAGCCGGCCUGGCAAGUCUUUCGUUAAAUCCAGCGACUUAAUCGUUGGGCUGCGGGAGAUACUGUUGGGCUAGG